AAAGCGUAGAUUAGAUAUAAAUAGUAAUGAGUAAAAGAGAGAAAUUCUACUUUGCACUUGAAAUCUGAAAACUGGACCCAAGGAGGAACAAUACAGCUUCAAUCCAGGAACACCUUAUAAAACCAAAGCCUAGAAAAACAUGUCAGCAGACUAGAGGAGGUAUUGUGAAAUAUUUCCAAAGCCAAGUGGACCAGAGAUGAAAGAAAGAGGACCUGACUCUCCAUCACCUCUCUUCAUGUCUAGCCACCUACCAUUAGCCUACAGCACCUGGAAGAUCUUCUUACCAUCCCAAUCAUUGCUGGUGUGGUCAUUCAGACUCUGGAACAAGAGGGAACCUACCUUUUCUAUGACAACUAGUCCAGAUGUUCUCAAACUCUCAUCAGGUUGCUCCAGCUGAGCCAACAUUCCUCUCAGCAGAUAAACUUGGCCACUCAGUUCAUUCUCCAGACAACUUCAGCUUCUCUGACUGCGACCACUUCCCUUUCUCCCAUUUCUGCAUGUUUGAACAUGCAAUCUAAUAAUUUGGAAGACAACCUGUAAUGGUGUAAAGCAAUCUGCUCUUCUCAUUUCCAGCUGCCAGGCAUUUCCUCCAUCAGGCACAGUCGUAGAGUGCCAGAUAGCUACCAGGAGGAAUGAGUCAUUAAGUAACAUUUGCUUUGGCUUAGCAUGCAUUUGUUUAAAUGUUAAAAUCUCAGCCUGUUCUUUAUUCUAACAUGUUUUGUCAUUUGCCUAUAACCACCUUCAGUAUGCUUUAUAGCAGUCUCCUUAGGACUCUAGGAAAAAUGUCUCGGUGUGCACUCUGUUCUGGGCUUUUGCAUGGUGUAUGAGGAUGAGGCCAGCACCCAGUUAAUGAAGGCAGGCUCAUACCUGCCUCAUACCUCAUUCCCAGGUUCUGCUGGGUGAAUUCAGUGGAGAAUGCUCUAAAUCAUGUGCAAACACAGCAUCUGUAAGCUAUAAUUUCUUCUGAGUCUAUGACAGCGCGGUGCCAAGAGUAAUGUGGUAUUUGAAGAUAGCCUUGUGUGUAUGUUCAAUUACUGCAAUCAGACUUUAAGAGAAUUGUUGACCAUGGGAGACUUUUAAAUCCUACCAUGAUUUUGCCAUUUAGAAGAAGCUCCUGCUUCACAUCAUGAUGAACAAGAGAUCAUUCAGAGCACUGCAAAGCAGAACUUUGUCUACAGAACAAGCCUUAGCUUGGCAUAAGGGUACUAUUAUGAAAUGCAGGAGCCCAACACACAAACUCCACCUGAUUUGAUCAAAGGUGUAUAAACUAAUCCCAUGUGUUUUCUGUCUUCUCCUUAACUACUAGAUCACUGGGAGAAUACAAUGCAUGAGGUAUUCUGCUUGUGAUAUAAGUUACCAAAUGUGUACUAGACAAGAGACAAUCUGCUUCCAAGCCACAGAAAUAAAUCUAUUCUAGGAUAGGUAAAAAUUCAACCCUUUUCCAUCUGACCCCAAAUACUAUCUUUGUAGGAAUUUGUAUAUUUCUACAAAAAGUUUCAGCAAUCUGCUGUUUUUAUAGAGAAAGAGAUAGGAAGCUAUUCAGCAAGCACUAUUAAAAAACGUUAAAUGUAAGUAAACAGUUAUUGUCAGCACUCAGGACUUGAAUAUUUCAUUUUCUGUCUGCCCAUAUUUUUAUUUAAACAGUACUUUUUCAAGAUGUGGAACACUGUGGCUAGAUUUUCAUUUGUUAUGUUUUCUUCCACCUUUAAAAGUAGAGUGGUGUUUCAGAGAAAGCAGCUUUUUGGCUUUUCUAACUACUAUAAACAGAGGGCAGAAAAAAAAAAAUAAAAAGAAGGCAAAGCAUUUUCAACCUCCUGAUCACGUUGGCACAAUAACCGUUAGAUCAAAAUGUUGGCAUCACUGUGAUAAUUGAUACUAUUGGAGAACAUGUCUUCAAAGAUUCUGCUUGCUCUAGCAAAUGCCUUGUCACAACAAGGAGUGUGUUGGUAGAAUGACCAGACGGUGCUAAGGACUCGACAUGCACAUCUCUGUGUGUUUCAGAGGCUUCGAUUUGGACCAGUUCCAGUCUGUGCCUGAGCACUCAUCAUUCCUGGGCUGCUGAAGUGCUUGAAGUGUGUUUCUGACCCACAGCUCGCCAAGCAAUGCCCAGCAUUUAGGCAGAGGACGGCUCAUCACCAGGGCUGUAUCAGAGCUACGACACAUGAAGGCUGAGGCAGCAUUCUGUGCUGUCUACGGUGUGGUAUCUGCUCUUUUUACUCUUUCAGCAUUUCUGUUAUUUUACUUCUUAUGUUUCUUGAAAGCCCUGCUGAUGGGCUGUGUCACAGCUGCCAUAAUUCUUUGCAAUUUGGAGGCAGAGAAAGCUCUGGGGAAACCAUGACCUGUGGGGUGGGUGUCCAGGAAUGUCCUCCAGGUCAAUGAGCUGAGCCAUACUGCUGUGUUAUGGCAAGAGAAGGCCAAGAGUCCUCCUUAAGAAACACAGAGGAGACUGAUAGAGCUGUGAGAAGCAGCUGUUUUUGUUCGAUGCCGAUGAAUAUUGCACAGAGAAGGGUUCCUGAGUCUCAGAUUAGCAUUUUUCAGUUGUUUUUUUUUUUUAAUAACUGCAACCUCAGCUAUAUAAGCAUAAAUGAAAAAUGCCAAUGUCUGCCUAUCCUAUAAAUAAAUAAACAAUAAAAUUAAAACCAACCUCAAUAUACACAACAAAGACCAAUCACGGGAUGUUUCUCUGUAAAACUUACACGCUGCCAUAACUUCAGGCUAAACAAGUCUGAACCAAGAAGGGUUUUGUCCCAGAUCUGUAUAUUUUAUGGGAAGCUGAUGCUUAUUUUCCAUGAGAAACUAAUUUUUCCAAAGGACAGUUUCAGCUUGGCGGCUCAAUACUGUGCUGCUGUGACAAGCUGCUCUUUUAGCAGCGCUGACAGAUUUUUGAGAAAUAUUUAUUUUCUCAACUAAGCCAUGAGGCCAAUGACAGGUACAUUCUGGAAUGAAAGAGAAUGCAGAGAAGCACGCAAGAAAAUAUGGAAUUUGGAGCACAGCUUUUUACCAACAUAGCCAGAUAGGACACAGGUUGAAGUCAUCUUUGUGUAGCUCUCAGCAGAAAGGCAUUAAUUAUGUGGUAGUUCAAGUUUGUUCACCAAAUUAAAGAACCCAAGUGGAAUUUUUUGUCAGGUAGACUCAAAAGUUUGGGGAUUUUUUUUUGUUUUCUUUCUUUUUUUCUCCUGCCAAUAUGUAAGAUAUAAAUCAUACUGCUUGAUUCAGACCUACAUUUCUAGGCUAAAAACAAGAAAUAAAUCAAAUGAAAAAUAUGUUCCAGUUCCAAUUCUGACCUUGAUGAGGAAGAAAACUUGACGCUAGUGAAAAACUGUUUCUGUUUAGUUCUUAACCAGUGAUACUUCUGAAGUUUUAGUGCACGUUAAGAGAAAGCAUCAAGCAGAACUCAAUCCAAAAGGCACAAACACGGAGUUUUCUCCAAGUUAAACAUCAUCUGGAACUAAUGUGUUUCAAAAUGCCUUUCUUAAUCAUUCAGGUAAGAAAUUAGUCAUGUGAGCCUGGAUAUCUACUCACAACGGUGCCUAAUAAAAUGGAUUUCUCACAUAAAUCAGGCCAUGAGUAUCUUGUAGUGCAUACAGUGUUGUUUUGAUUCCUUGCCUAUCAUGAGACUCCAGCCAGUGUCAGCUGUGGUGAUGCUCUCUGGCACACGAUGUCUAGCACUUACCUUUUUUGCAGAGAACUUCCAAGCAGAUAGUUAUCAAUCACAGAAAGCUGCGCAGAAUAAACCUGUAGGGUUACUGGUCAGAAAGUUCACUUUGGGAUAUCAUCUUGUCCCAAAUCCCUUCUCAUACAGCAUCAGUGACCUGAAUCAUUAUUUUCCUCCAAAAUUCUUCCUGGUGGAUGAAAACUGGCAUUUACUCUCUUCUUGCUUUUGUUACUGAAUAGAGACAGUUUGCACACAAAUAUCUCUGUGGGCAUAACAGAAUAAUCACAUCCAGUGUUAUACUUUCUUCAUGUAUUGAGGAUUAUUUCAGCACUGAAAAGAGUUCAUGCAUAACCACAAACACUUGGGGACUAGAAUUCAAGAGAUACUCAAAGACGAUGACUUUCCAGAAACUGAGCUGGCUUUUGAAUUAUUGGUUUUUAAGAUUACAUUGUGUUUUAAAAAAGAAAACUUUUACAACCUUUCUAUGUGAAUAAAUAUUUAUAAAAACAGCUCUCUGGUUUUCUCCGAUUCUAAUUUUCCUUACAUUUCUAGAAGUUGUGCAAAAAGCUGUCACUUGUCAAAACAGGCAAACAUAAAUGGGAUAGACUACAAGGUCAGACAAUAUUAACACAUAAAGCACUGACCACAUCAAGCACUAUCUCAUAAGCUGGUUCAUAUCACACUGUUCUGACUUCAUACUGCCAUAAUUUGGAAGGUCAC